ACCCAUGAUUACGACGUCAAGAUGCGCUCGGUCAUGAAGUUCCUGGCCGAGGGCGACAAGGUCAAGAUCACCCUGCGCUUCCGCGGCCGCGAGAUGGCGCACCAGCAACUUGGGGUCGAGCUUCUGAACCGCGUCGCCGCCGAUGUCGGCGAGGCGGGCAAGGUCGAAUCCAUGCCCAAGCUGGAAGGGCGCCAGAUGGUCAUGAUGAUCUCGCCGAAAUAAGGGGCUUUGGGGAUGGCGGCCGAGGUGACGAUUCUGGUUCUGCGCGAACCGGGCGCUGA
rnacentral:misc_RNA from 1 species